rnacentral:rRNA from 1 species
AGAGUUUGAUCAUGGCUCAGGAUGAACGCUAGCGACAGGCUUAACACAUGCAAGUCGAGGGGCAGCACGGUGUAGCGAUACACUGGUGGCGACCGGCGCACGGGUGAGUAACACGUGUGCAACCAACCCCGUACCGGGAGAUAACCCGCGGAAACGUGGACUAACAUCCCAUGACACCUUUUCCCCGCAUGGGGGAGAGUUUAAAACCCCGGUGGUACGGGACGGGCACGCGCGACAUUACGGUAGUUGGCGGGGUAAGGGCCCACCAAGCCGACGAUGUCUAGGGGUUCUGAGAGGAAGGUCCCCCACACUGGAACUGAGACACGGUCCAGACUCCUACGGGAGGCAGCA